UGGGGAAUUUUUCGCAAUGGGGGAAACCCUGACGAAGCAACGCCGCGUGGGGGAUGAAGGUCCUCGGAUCGUAAACCCCUGUCGACCGGGACGAAGGCACUCGACCUAAUACGUCGAGCUGUUGACUGUACCGGUGGAGGAAGCCACGGCUAACUCUGUGCCAGCAGCCGCGGUAAUACAGAGGUGGCAAGCGUUGUUCGGAAUUACUGGGCGUAAAGGGCGCGUAGGCGGCCGCGUAAGUCCCGUGUGAAAUCCCUCGGCUCAACUGAGGAAUGGCACGGGAGACUGCGUGGCUCGAGUUCGGGAGAGGGAAGCGGAAUUCCGGGUGUAGCGGUGAAAUGCGUAGAUAUCCGGAGGAACACCGGUGGCGAAGGCGGCUUCCUGGACCGAUACUGACGCUGAGGCGCGAAAGCUAGGGGAGCAAACGGGAUUAGAUACCCCGGUAGUCCUAGCUGUAAACGAUGAGUGCUGGGUGUAGGGGGUAUUAACCCCUCCUGUGCCGAAGCUAACGCAUUAAGCACU
rnacentral:rRNA from 1 species